CCUACGGGUCGCACCAGUGGGGAAUAUUGCACAAUGGGCGCAAGCCUGAUGCAGCCAUGCCGCGAGUAUGAAGAAGGCCUUCGGGUUGUAAAGUACUUUCAGCGGGGAGGAAGGCGAUAAGGUUAAUAACCUUGUCGAUUGACGUUACCCGCAGAAGAAGCACCGGCUAACUCCGUGCCAGCAGCCGCGGUAAUACGGAGGGUGCAAGCGUUAAUCGGAAUUACUGGGCGUAAAGCGCACGCAGGCGGUCUGUCAAGUCGGAUGUGAAAUCCCCGGGCUCAACCUGGGAACUGCAUUCGAAACUGGCAGGCUAGAGUCUUGUAGAGGGGGGUAGAAUUUCAGGUGUAGCGGUGAAAUGCGUAGAGAUCUGAAGGAAUACCAGUGGCGAAGGCGGCCCCCUGGACAAAGACUGACGCUCAGAUGCGAAAGCGUGGGGAGCAAACAGGAUUAGAUACCCCGCGUAGUC
rnacentral:rRNA from 1 species